rnacentral:rRNA from 1 species
AUUAAUCCCUGGCUACCAGGAUGAACGCUGGCGGCGUGCCUAACACAUGCAAGUCGAGCGAUUCACUUCGGUGAAGAGCGGCGGACGGGUGAGUAACGCGUGGGUAACCUGCCUCAUACACAUGGAUAACAUACCGAAAGGUAUGCUAAUACAGGAUAACAUAAGAGAUUCACAUGUAUUUCUUAUCAAAGCUCCGGCGGUAUGAGAUGGACCCGCGUCUGAUUAGCUAGUUGGUAAGGUAACGGCUUACCAAGGCGACGAUCAGUAGCCGACCUGAGAGGGUGAUCGGCCACAUUGGAACUGAGACACGGUCCAAACUCCUACGGGAGGCAGCAGUGGGGAAUAUUGCACAAUGGGCGAAAGCCUGAUGCAGCAACGCCGCGUGAGUGAUGAAGGCCUUCGGGUCGUAAAACUCUGUCCUCAAGGAAGAUAAUGACGGUACUUGAGGAGGAAGCCCCGGCUAACUACGUGCCAGCAGCCGCGGUAAUACGUAGGGGGCUAGCGUUAUCCGGAUUUACUGGGCGUAAAGGGUGCGUAGGUGGUUUCUUAAGUCAGGAGUGA